UCUGUACCCAGUAUUCCAUCACAAACCGCUCUGGCCCCUGGCUACUCCAGAAAGCAUAUAUGCACAGGGGACGGAGGGAACUCCCAUCUGCUCAGCCUCUGUAGCAGGGAAAGCUUGUGCCCCUCCACCCCUGCCCAGUCCAGGCCACACUUACCUCCAAUACCCGAAGUGGCUGGGAUUCCGUGAAACAUCCUUCAGGCUCUGGCAGCCACAGCACAGAGACCUGGGGAGCAGAGCCAGCACCAACUCAAGGGGACCUUACCUCAAGAGCCAAGCCCUUGUGAAGAGCUCCCUGCCCUCCAACAUUCUGGGGGUUAGCUGGGAGAAGCUAGGCAUGGAGGAGACUGAGGUCUCAAGGGGAGGGAGCCCUGACUAGCUUUGUGAAGUUGCUCUGAAGUAAGGGGAAGAGAGCAAUUGCUGGAAGACCGGGAGCAGCAUUUUGGACGUGGGUUUAGGGCACGCUGAUACUUUCCAAAGGGAAUAAACUUGAAAGAACCAACUGAGUGUGGGAAGUCACAGUUAAGAAGGCGGAGGCCAUCUUUAACGCCGCGGGAGCUACGGGAGGAAUAAAGGAAAACACCUCCGCAGCGCACGACUAGGAAACAGCUCAGAGGGUUCUGCCUAGACCCAGCGGCUCGAGCUACCUGGGGAAAGAGCGGCCCGCGGAGUCUUAGGCAAGAGGCAGUGCGUGCCCAGCCGCGGGUCGUGUCAGCACCGAGGGGAAGUCAGGCUGCGAACAAGUACGCGACCCCUACAGCACCCGAAGAUGCUGACCGCCUGGCCAGGGCCGCUCAGUCCCCGCCCGCAGCGUACCUGGACACACUUGGGGUCCCAGAGAUGGCGCCGGGGCGUGGCGCCCAAGACCGAGAGUUCGGCGCUCGCCCUUCCGCCUGCGUACGCAGGGAACGCCGAUCGAUAGCUCGGUACUCUGCCCCUGCCUGUGUGCUGAUAACCACGCGAGGACAGUAGCAGCUGCUUUAUUAAAGCUUCGGAGAGAAUGGGGCUGAAGUCAGGGUCGUUGGAGGAAGAAGAGCUUGGAGCCUUGGUCCAGUGUGCACGCGUUGGGGCCUGGCACGCGUUGGCAGAUGGCAUCGCGGUCCUCGGUGUGCAGGCCUCUGCUGCACAGCUGCAGCCCCUGCAGCUGCAGGGUCAUCUUGUCCCAAAGGCUAGGGCCCAGAGGCCCCUGGAUGUUGCAGCCUGCAGGCAAGAAUUCCCAUUCUAUAUGCGGGUCUGCUCACCGUGUACUUCCCGGACUGAACAUGAAUGCUUGCACAGCUCUAUAUUGUGGGCUCAAAGAGGCCACUGAGCUGCUAGAGCUGACCCCUACUCGAGGUACAAGUAUGUUCAGGCUCAGGGACCUGGCUGAGGGUACCGGUGCCAGCAAUACCAGUGUGAGGGAGGAGGAUUUCAGGAUGCUGCACAACUUUUAUAAGGACAGAUCAAGUUGACCUCAUUCCCUGACCUUAGCUGGGCAAACUAGCUGCAGGCCAGUGAGUUUAGUCAGGUACACCUCCCAGGGGAGCUGCCCUAGUGUGGCAGAACAAGCUACAUAAAGGACUAGUAAGAUACCAGGUGUGUUCAACCUGUCCCAGAAAGGCUAUGAAUGUGACCCAACACAUUGAUUACAGUAUCAUGUCACAUUGUCAACAGGUUGGACACAUCUGGUCGUCCCUGCCAGGAGGUAGGAAGAAGGCCCACUGGUGGAACUUACAGCCUUGAUCCAAAAUUCCCGGUUCUUUCCAAUAAAGGCACAUGUUUUUUUUGUUGUUGUUGUUUGUUUUAUUUUUUCGAGGUAAGGUUUCACUCUAGCCCAGGCUGACCUGGAA